rnacentral:lncRNA from 1 species
GCGGAGAGCCCAGAGCAGGCGCGCCGUGGCCGGGAUGCACUAUCCGGAUCUUCCGGAAAAGUCGGCGCGCCCAGCCCGCCCCUAGCGUGCCCGCGCCGCCGCUAUUGGGCCACGGGCUGUCCGGCCCCCGCUCAUUGGUCCGCGGCUGCACGGUGCCUGCAGUCCCACCCCUCGCCCAGCGGCCGCGACGCUAUGGCGCACUGGAGUACCCUGUUCCUGGCAGGGAGGAACAGGAAGAGAAGAGUGUGGCCUCCUAGAAAUCUAGCACGGAGAAAGGAUGGAAUACAGGGGGGACAGUUAGAUUCUGAAUUGUUAAGCAGAGCUGCUUGAUGCAGAAGAUGAAGACACAAGAAAGAAUGAGCCUAGGCCGGGCACAGUGGCUCACGCCUGUAAUUCCAGCACUUCGGGAGGCCGAGGCGGGAGGAUCACUUGAGCUCAGGAGUUUGAGACCGGCCUGGCCACCAUGGUGAAACCUCGACUCUACCAAAAAAAAAAAAAAAAAGCCAAAAUUAGCCGGGUGUGGUGGCAUAUGCCUGUGGUCCCAGCUACUUGGGAGGCUGAAGUGGGAGAAUCACUUGAGCCCAGGAGGCUGCAGUUGCAGUGAGCUGAUAUUAUGCCACUGCACUCCAGCCUGGGUGACAGGGUGAGACCCUGUCUCAAAAAAAAAAAAAAA